AUGGGCUUCCUGCUUUCUCUAGGCCCUCUGUCUGAGUUGGUGGGCUCACAGAAACCUAAAGUCUCGAAGGUAAAAGCUCAAUUGCUGUCUCUGUUUCUUUCAUUUUUGUUUGAACAAUCUUUCCACGUUGCUAUGGUAAUGCCUAGUAUCAGGAUGCUCUGUAAAUUUUCAUUUGGGAAGCAGGAGGAGAUCACGAGUGAUGUAGUUCAUAGAAAAAUCUGCCCAGAGGGCAACCUCUUUGCCAAUCUGAAAAGUAUGUGUGUAUGAGUUAGAGCUCUGAUCCCAGGAGUCCAUGUAGAAGCUUCCCCUGAGAAAUGGAUCGUUUUUGCACCAAUGCUACUGAAAUGUGUGAAUGUGGUAUACCACGCGUCCCAAUAAGUGUAAACAGCGUCAUAGGCUACUUAUUUGAAAUGACCAGUACUCAUGACAUUCCAUUCAACUGAGGACUAAAUAUAGCCAACGUAGGCUGUGUUUGCCAAAUAGACUUUGAAGUAUUCUUCACACAGUCCUUCAUCGAUGCCAGUUUUCAGAUCGAAGAAACCCUUGCUCCAUGAAGUUUGUGAACACAUAUACUCAUGUUUUGUUUGAGAUUUUAAAGUCAUUCUUCAGUUUUGUUGGAGGAAUGGUUCUGGGGGAAGCCCAGUGCAGCCCAAUAGCUUGCCACAUUUACUCACUUCUUGAGUCCCUUGUCAUUCUUCAGUGCACAGUGGGGCUGUCCCAUUACAGUCUCCUCCUCUUGUCACAUCAGCUUGAAUGAGGCUUACGUGCCAUGACUAGAAUAUCAGGCUCAACCCAAAUUGUUCAUGUUUCACUCAGCACUGCAUGGGAGAUGUCAUGUCACUGUAAUGUACUCUUCCUAGAAAACAUUUUCACCUCGAUCCUCCCAGGUCCAGCUGGUACCCAGAAUGAACGACUGGAUGACGAGAAGGAAGACCUGCAGCACCCUGAAAUGCCUCUCAUCAGCUCGUAGCCCUAUCAGCAACUACACAAGGAAGGGUGCAGUAUCCUUUGAGGGCUGGAUGAAGACACAUCUAAGUCAAGAAACAAUUAAGUGAAUGUAUAUUGGGAGCCAGAUUUCUUUUCCCAUCCUUUUUCUCAGUUGUUUUAAUAAUCCAAGACUUCUAAAAAUACAGCCAUAAGGAUGGCACACGCAGAGUUUGCUAACUAAGAAAUAAUGAGGGGGCGGGAUGAACAUGGCGGCGCGUCGGGGGCCAGGGCUCUCAGGGCUCGCCAUUGCAGCUGGGAAUGCUCGUUUCGUGGGCUCCUGGGUCCCCGUCGAUUGGCAUCCAGCGAGCAGAGCGAAGGGCUUGGAACACAGGCAUUCUGAAUUGGGAUCCUUCUUGGGGGCACACGCAUCACUCAGCUGAGAUGGAUUCCAGCGAAGUGGAUCCUGGGAGGUUGGUAGGACCUCUGAACUGGAGCCUCCCAUCUCCUGACCUCUCCAGAAUUCUGGUUGGUGGUAGCUUGUUCGUUCCUUGUUCCUUCCCAGGACCUCCUGUUGUAAGAUGAUUCCUGCAAGUGUUUUCUUUUCUCUGUUGCCUGGCCAGGGUGGGUGGUCCGUGGUUCAUUUAACAGUUUGUUUUUGGUUCUCUCGAGUAAGGUCCUCCACAGGGUAAAUGUAUGAAAUGAUAAAAGGCAAUGUUUUAAAUAAUUUAUAUUCAUAAUUUGGUAAGUUGGCUUGUUUUGUGUAUGUUAGACCUGAUCACCAGACCAACGGUCAUGUAGAACUUUUGCAGUUUUCUAAAAUUCUAUAGUUUUUUAAAUGGAGUUACCUUGUUGCAAAGUUUGUGUUUAUGUUCAUAUUUUUUUAAAGUUAUUUCUUUUAGUUGAUUGAUCAUUGCUUUACAAUAUUGGUUUGAUUUGUCAUACAUCCACAUGAAUUAACCAUAGGUGUACCUAUGUCCUCUUGCUCUUGAAUCUCCCUCCCA
rnacentral:lncRNA from 1 species